rnacentral:lncRNA from 1 species
AAAAUGUCAUCCAAAGAUGUUGACCUAAGACAAAGGUUUCAAUGAUACACAAUACGGUCAAAAAGGUUUCAAUCAGUAAUAUACAGUAUGACAACUACAUCUUGUAAAUUAUUCCCAAUACUGCCGGCAGUCUAUCUCUCUAAAGAAUAUUUGCCCCUUUCAUCCCUUCCUAACAAUCAGAUAAUAAAAUACAGCACCUAUAAAUAAGC